rnacentral:rRNA from 1 species
AGAGUUUGAUCCUGGCUCAGAGCGAACGCUGGCGGCAGGCCUAACACAUGCAAGUCGAACGAACCCCUCGGGGUGAGUGGCGGACGGGUGAGUAACACGUGGGAACGUACCCUUUGGUUCGGAACAACACAGGGAAACUUGUGCUAAUACCGGAUGUGCCCUUCGGGGGAAAGAUUUAUCGCCAUUGGAGCGGCCCGCGUUGGAUUAGCUAGUUGGUGGGGUAAAGGCCCACCAAGGCUCCGAUCCAUAGCUGGUCUGAGAGGAUGAUCAGCCACACUGGGACUGAGACACGGCCCAGACUCCUACGGGAGGCAGCAGUGGGGAAUCUUGCGCAAUGGGCGAAAGCCUGACGCAGCCAUGCCGCGUGAAUGAUGAAGGUCUUAGGAUUGUAAAAUUCUUUCAGCAGGGACGAUAAUGACGGUACCUGCAGAAGAAGCCCCGGCUAACUUCGUGCCAGCAGCCGCGGUAAUACGAAGGGGGCUAGCGUUGCUCGGAUUUACUGGGCGUAAAGGGCGCGUAGGCGGAUCAGCAAGUUGGGGGUGAAAGCCCGGGGCUCAACCUCGGAACUGCCUUCAAAACUGUUGAUCUUGAGUAUGAGAGAGGUGUGUGGAACUCCGAGUGUAGAGGUGAAAUUCGUAGAUAUUCGGAAGAACACCAGUGGCGAAGGCGACACACUGGCUCAUUACUGACGCUGAGGCGCGAAAGCGUGGGGAGCAAACAGGAUUAGAUACCCUGGUAGUCCACGCCGUAAACGAUGAGUGCUAGUUGUCGGGCGGCAUGCCGUUCGGUGACGCAGCUAACGCAUUAAGCACUCCGCCUGGGGAGUACGGUCGCAAGAUUAAAACUCAAAGGAAUUGACGG